rnacentral:lncRNA from 1 species
UUUUUGCCAUUUCUUGGGCCGCUCGCUCGGCAUAUGGAGGUUCCCAGGCUAGGGAUCCAAUCGGAGCUGCAGCCGCUGGCCUAUGCCAGAAGCUCAGCAACGCAGGAUCUGAGCCGCGUCUGCAAACCUACACCACAGCUCACCGCAACGCCUGAUCGUCAACCCACUGAGCAAGGGCAGGGAUUGAACCCGCAACCUCUUGGUUCGUUAACCACUGCGCCACGACAGGAACUCCCCCAGCUUUCUUUACCCUUGAAAUAUACUCAGAUUCCCAAGCCAAGAACAGCAUUUUCUUUGAGUCUGAGUUAAACCAGAACUAAAACAGGAAAGUUCAAAUGGCCCCUGGCUCCUGGUUUACUAGCCGGUCCAAAUAGGCAGUCUCGUUCUUCCUCCAGCUGCUGUCAAGCACAAGUGAGAAGUGAGAAAGUCGGCUGAACUCCAGGGGCAGACUGUGUAGUCUCUUGUGGGUCACAGUGAGGACUCUGGCCUUUAACUGAAAAGAGGCAUUUUUACCUUUUUGUUAACUGAUGUGUCCUCAACAUCUAGAACAAUGCCUGGUACUUAGUAGACACUCAAUAAACAGUCAUAAAAAAAAAUACCAUGUAGCCAAAAAAACUUCCUGCCACAGGAAGGUAUUGAUGAUAGGGGUUUGUUCUUUUUUUGUUUUGGGUUUUGUUUUUUGGUUUUUUUUUUUUUGUCUGCGCCCGCGGCAUAUGGAGGGAGCAGGCCUAGAAAAGGCAAAGAGACAAAAAAAAAAAAAAAAAAAAAAAAAAAAGAGAGAGAGAGAGAGAGAAAGGAGUGAAAUAAAUGAAUAAAUUGGAUGCAAGAGUAGGAAGGAAGAAAGAUUAAUUCAGGCUGUGAAGUCCAGACUACGUCCCCUCCUCUGCAUCCUCCAGCUCUUUCUGAACACACACACACACACACACACACACACACACACACACACACACACACACACACACACACACACACACACACACCCUGGAAGCCUUUCUUCCCUUUUCUGGCCUUGCCCUUGCCGCAUUCCAGACUCUUUCUGCUCUGGGAGCUCCCUUACCUCCUGCCUGAGGCCACUGCCCAGCAGCUCCCUGGCCACAGUGGAGGCUGCAUUCAAGUCUGCAAACAAAGACAAUUAGCAAGGGCCUGCCGCCUGGCUCCUCUAAUUGUCCACGCUCCUGAAAAGAAAGAAAUGAUGGCUCUUUCUGAGCAAAAUAAAAACAUCUCAGCAUUAGCCCCACAAGCAUACAGAGAAGGUCUCCCCUAGGAAUAUGCAGAAAUUUCCAGGGAUGGCAAUCACAUGACAAGAAGGCCAGUGGCCCAGGAGAGGUGAGGACCGCUGACCAGGAUGGCAGCUUGACUGGCUCUCUGAGGACUGACUGUUAACUGCAUAAUGUGAAUGCAGGCCUCAGAAAAACAACUGGGUUCAAAUCCAUCCCUACCAUUCACUGACUGGGUGGCCUUGAGGAAAAUCACACAGCCUCUCUGAGCCUUGACUAUAAAUGGGAACAGUGACAGCACCAGCCUCAAAGGGCUAUUGUGGGAGCUAAUGGAGAAAACACCCAAUAAGACCUGCUGAUAAUUGUCACUUAGGAGUAUACUUUCCCCUCUGCCUAGGCACCCUUCUCUCAUCCCUUACUACAUCUAAUUUUUUUUUUUUUUUUUUUUUUUUUUUGCUUUUUAGGGCCGCACUGCAGCAUAUGGAAGCUCCCAGGUUGAAUCGGAGCCGCAACUCCUGGGAACUUCCAUAUGUGGCCCUAAAGAAGCAAAAAAAAAAAAAUUAAUAUUUAUUGAGCGCUUAUUCUGUGAUGAACAUGUACCAAGCACAUUACAUCUAUUCUCUCCAAUUUCUCAUAACUCAUUUCAUAAAUGCAAAAUACGAGGCUCAGAUGGUAAGUAAUUUGCUCAAGGUGAAACAGCAUGAAUUUGACUUGUAGAACCUGGGCUGUUAACCAUGACCCAGGCUCUACCUUCCUGCAGCUAAGGCUAUAGGCUUGGAAUAAUUCAGAGUUUUACUUCAGCUCAAACCCUGUCUCCACCACUUAGCGCUGUGUGACUUGAGCAAGUAACUAAACCUCUCUGAGCCCCAGUUUCUUCCUCAAUAACUGGGGACAGUGACAGGACCUAAGUCACAGGGCUGUCUUAAAGAUUAAAUGUCAGGUCAAGAUGCGAGCCUUGCAUGGAGUGGCCACGUCUCUGCGGCUGAGAUCACCUCUUCUCUUCCUCCCAGCACAGGAUUUCCAUGACUGGGUGGUGGCUGGGUGAACAUCAGUGAAAUAUCACAUCUUUCCCUGGAGAAGCACUACAGAGGCUUUCUAGGUACAGACGACAAAUUGAAUACAGAAAUUUUUCAUCUGAAACCAACUAUUUUUUAAAACAACUGUUUACAACUUUGUUUACUCCCAGCAAGGGUUAGACCAGGUAUGAACCCCUCCCUGAUUCAGGUAAUGGACUACAAGAGAGGAAGAGUCGCCCUCCAGGGGGCUUUGGACUCCACAGCUAAGUGGAAAACUUAAAAAACCUGCAAAUAGGAGGGAAAAGGGGGUGGGAGGGGGAGAAGAAGCGGGUUCCAAGGAGGUUAUGUAAAAACAAUGAAAUUGUAAUAUUUUCCACGACAGAUUUCAUCAGUGCCGCCUGAGUGCAUUCUAUUAAACCUCAUUUAUUAAAUUUUGAGGAACAUAAUUUAGAUAUAAGAUCCCGGACAAACAGUUUGCAAAAUAGCUGAAUCCGGACGCAUCAAUGGCCCCCCAUGCGUGGCAAACAGGCUGGCAUUUUUCUUCUUGAGAGCCUCAAAGGGCUUGUGUGGGGGAAGGAGAGAGUGAGACAGGGCUGGGGGGGCUUCACGCCCUUGUCUGCCGUCUCCCUCCCCCUUCCACAGCCAUUAGAAGUGUUACGCCUCCUGCCCUGGAGCAUAAAUAGCUCUGAAGUUGAACAGGCAUGCUUAGUUUUGUGGGCCCCAGAGGAAAUUGGUGUCAGAAAAAAAAAAAAAAAAAAAAAAAAGGCAACAUACCCACACAGCACAGUUUCUUUGUUUAUCUAAGGGUCUCCUGUAAGCCUCCCAGAACUCCCCUGACCCACCCGGAGAAUCACUUUUACUAUAUUUACAAAGCAGGACUUGACCAGGGUCUUUCCAGUGGAUGACACAGGUGAGGUUUUUAUUCUGGGAUUUCCAGGUCACUGGGAAGUCUCCCUUCCCCCACCAAACUCCCAGCCCCAAACACGUCCUCAGUUCCACUUUCUGAUGCCUACAAUGGCCCUUUGUGGAAACUGAAGGAACUGAGGUGUGCCAGAGACUCUGUCCACAUUAUUUCAUGUAUUCCUUUCCUCGGUCCACUCAGGGCAUGUUGAUCCCACUUCACAGAUG